rnacentral:tRNA from 1 species
AGAGACUUAGGUUAACAUUAAGACCCUGGGCCUUCAAAGCCCGAAGUGGGAGUGAAACCCUCUCAGUCUCUG